rnacentral:rRNA from 1 species
AACGAACGCUGGCGGCAUGCCUAACACAUGCAAGUCGAACGAGACCUUCGGGUCUAGUGGCGCACGGGUGCGUAACGCGUGGGAACCUGCCCUUAGGUUCGGAAUAACUCCCCGAAAGGGGUGCUAAUACCGGAUAAUGUCUUCGGACCAAAGAUUUAUCGCCGUUGGAUGGGCCCGCGUUGGAUUAGCUAGUUGGUAGGGUAAAAGCCUGCCAAGGCGACGAUCCAUAGCUGGUCUGAGAGGAUGAUCAGCCAGACUGGGACUGAGACACGGCCCAGAACCCUACGGGAGGCAGCAGUAGGGAAUAUUGGACACUGGGCGAAAGCCUGAUACAGCCACGCCGCGUGAGUGAUGAAGGCCUUAGGGUUGUAAAGCUCUUUUACACGGGAUGAUAAUGACAGUACCGGGAGAAUAAGCUCCGGCUAACUCCGUG